GCACUGCUGAGGAGUCCCAUAAUAGGACGAAACAGCCGUUCGGUGC
rnacentral:hammerhead_ribozyme from 1 species